rnacentral:rRNA from 1 species
GACGAACGCUGGCGGCGUGCCUAAUACAUGCAAGUCGAACGCUUCUUUCCUCCCGAGUGCUUGCACUCAAUUGGAAAGAGGAGUGGCGGACGGGUGAGUAACACGUGGGUAACCUACCCAUCAGAGGGGGAUAACACUUGGAAACAGGUGCUAAUACCGCAUAACAGUUUAUGCCGCAUGGCAUAAGAGUGAAAGGCGCUUUCGGGUGUCGUUGAUGGAUGGACCCGCGGUGCAUUAGCUAGUUGGUGAGGUAACGGCUCACCAAGGCCACGAUGCAUAGCCGACCUGAGAGGGUGAUCGGCCACACUGGGACUGAGACACGGCCCAGACUCCUACGGGAGGCAGCAGUAGGGAAUCUUCGGCAGUGGACGAAAGUCUGACCGAGCAACGCCGCGUGAGUGAAGAAGGUUUUCGGAUCGUAAAACUCUGUUGUUAGAGAAGAACAAGGACGUUAGUAACUGAACGUCCCCUGACGGUAUCUAACCAGAAAGCCACGGCUAACUACGUG